rnacentral:misc_RNA from 1 species
GUACUGUCGCGGAAUGUUUGAAAAAUGUACAUAACCUAUUGUAUCAAAAGCUAACCUACCAUCGACAUGUGCUAAACUUUUCCAUGGAUUGUGAUACAAACGAAAGUAAAAGCGUAAUUUCAGAGUAUAGCUAGCAAAUAUACCCGCUACUUUCCGAAGAUAAUUACGAUUAUCAAUAUUACUUCGACGAUCGAGAUAUAGUUCAG